rnacentral:rRNA from 1 species
UGGGCGUAAGGGCUCGCAGGCGGUUUCUUAAGUCUGAUGUGAAAGCCCCCGGCUCAACCGGGGAGGGUCAUUGGAAACUGGGGAACUUGAGUGCAGAAGAGGAGAGUGGAAUUCCACGUGUAGCGGUGAAAUGCUAGAGAUGUGGAGGAACACCAGUGGCGAAGGCGACUCUCUGGUCUGUAACUGACGCUGAGGAGCGAAAGCGUGGGGAGCGAACAGGAUUAGAUACCCUGGUAGUCCACGCCGUAAACGAUGAGUGCUAAGUGUUAGGGGGUUUCCGCCCCUUAGUGCUGCAGCUAACGCAUUAAGCACUCCGCCUGGGGAGUACGGUCGCAAGACUGAAACUCAAAGGAAUUGACGGGGGCCCGCACAAGCGGUGGAGCAUGUGGUUUAAUUCGAAGCAACGCGAAGAACCUUACCAGGUCUUGACAUCCUCUGACAAUCCUAGAGAUAGGACGUCCCCUUCGGGGGCAGAGUGACAGGUGGUGCAUGGUUGUCGUCAGCUCGUGUCGUGAGAUGUUGGGUUAAGUCCCGCAACGAGCGCAACCCUUGAUCUUAGUUGCCAGCAUUCAGUUGGGCACUCUAAGGUGACUGCCGGUGACAAACCGGAGGAAGGUGGGGAUGACGUCAAAUCAUCAUGCCCCUUAUGACCUGGGCUACACACGUGCUACAAUGGACAGAACAAAGGGCAGCGAAACCGCGAGGUUAAGCCAAUCCCACAAAUCUGUUCUCAGUUCGGAUCGCAGUCUGCAACUCGACUGCGUGAAGCUGGAAUCGCUAGUAAUCGCGGUUCAACCAUGGCCG